GAUGGACCCGCGCCGUAUUAGCUAGUUGGUAAGGUAACGGCUUACCAAGGCAACGAUACGUAGCCGACCUGAGAGGGUGAUCGGCCACACUGGAACUGAGACACGGUCCAGACUCCUACGGGAGGCAGCAGUAGGGAAUCUUCCGCAAUGGGCGAAAGCCUGACGGAGCAACGCCGCGUGAGUGAUGAAGGGUUUCGGCUCGUAAAACUCUGUUAUUAGGGAAGAACAAAUGUGUAAGUAACUGUGCACAUCUUGACGGUACCUAAUCAGAAAGCCACGGCUAACUACGUGCCAGCAGCCGCGGUAAUACGUAGGUGGCAAGCGUUAUCCGGAAUUAUUGGGCGUAAAGCGCGCGUAGGCGGUUUCUUAAGUCUGAUGUGAAAGCCCACGGCUCAACCGUGGAGGGUCAUUGGAAACUGGGAAACUUGAGUGCAGAAGAGGAAAGUGGAAUUCCAUGUGUAGCGGUGAAAUGCGCAGAGAUAUGGAGGAACACCAGUGGCGAAGGCGACUUUCUGGUCUGUAACUGUCGCUGAUGUGCGAAAGCGUGGGGAUCAAACAGGAUUAGAUACCCUGGUAGUCCACGCC
rnacentral:rRNA from 1 species